rnacentral:rRNA from 1 species
CCCAGACUCCUACGGGAGGCAGCAGUGGGGGAUAUUGCACAAUGGGGGGAACCCUGAUGCAGCGACGCCGCGUGGGUGAAGGAGUAUUUCGGUAUGUAAAGCCCUAUCGGCAGGGAAGAAGCAAGACGGUACCUGACUAAGAAGCCCCGGCUAACUACGUGCCAGCAGCCGCGGUAAUACGUAGGGGGCGAGCGUUAUCCGGAUUCACUGGGUGUAAAGGGAGCGUAGACGGCCAUGCAAGCCAGGGGUGAAAGCCCGGGGCCCAACCCCGGGACUGCCCUUGGAACUGCAUGGCUGGAGUGCGGGAGGGGCAGGCGGAAUUCCUAGUGUAGCGGUGAAAUGCGUAGAUAUUAGGAGGAACACCAGUGGCGAAGGCGGCCUGCUGGGCUUUAACUGACGCUGCGGCUCGAAAGCGUGGGUAGCAAACAGGAUUAGAUACCCGCGUA